AGCAGCCGCGGUAAUUCCAGCUCCAAUAGCGUAUAUUAAAGUUGUUGCAGUUAAAAAGCUCGUAGUUGAAUUUCGGGAUCAAUAUGUUGGUCGUGCCUUGGUACGUACUGGCAUUAUCGAUUCCUACCUUCUGAAGAACCUCGAUGUCAUUAAUUUGGUGUCUUGGGGAAUCAGGACUGUUACUUUGAAAAAAUUAGAGUGUUAAAGCAAGCUAACGCUUGAAUACAUUAGCAUGGAAUAAUGAAAUAGGACGUUCGAUCCUAUUUUGUUGGUUUCUAGGAUUGACGUAAUGAUUAAUAGGGAUAGUUGGGGGCAUUAGUAUUCAAUUGUCAGAGGUGAAAUUCUUGGAUUUAUUGAAGACUAACUACUGCGAAAGCAUUUGCCAAGGAUGUUUUCAUUAAUCAAGAACGAAAGUUAGGGGAUCGAAGACGAUCAGAUACCGUCGUAGUCUUAACCAUAAACUAUGCCGACUAGGGAUCGGAUGAUGUUAAUUUUUUCAAUGACUCAUUCGGCGCCUUAC
rnacentral:rRNA from 1 species